UAGCUAAUUACACGCUAUCGUGCACUGCUGUCGUGUGUUCAAUAUCGCUCAAACAGUUUUGUUAGUACGAUCGACGGGUAGGUACGUAUCGUUUCUACAUUCCCAAAAUGUUUGAUACCUUUAUUAUCGACAAGCUACGACGACGAUAAAAGGCGGCCUAGAAACCGUCUGACUACCCACCACUGACCUUUUCAGUUUUCACCAUUAUAUAAUACAGUGAUCACUCGCCGGACCGUGAACGAGACCCGACCCGACCUACCCUCUUUGGUCCUUUUCAUAGUCUCGGUGAACUCGGCGGCGGGUGGUUUCUAGCCCUCCUCUCACCCACUUCUCCUGCCAAUUACCUGUGCAUCGCCGAGUACCGGGAAACGAUCCCCGCCACGAUCCCUCAAGCACAACACUGUCAGCCAUUAUUCGAUUAUUCUUGUUCGGAGAUCCGUGCUGCGUUCAUCACAUCGAAUGAAUACUGAAUAGGUAGCGAUUGCCGGCGCAGUUGCCAGUUGUAGACUUGCUGUACUGCUGUAAAAGUGUUGGACAGUUCUGACCGCCGUUCACCACGCCAUGAUUUUAGUACGAUUUCCGAGUAGAUGCUUUUGGACUUUCGGCUUACGGAUCUAUAUUGAUCUGGACAAUUACAGGUAUGACAUUUUUGGUCACCGACGAGAUUCUUCGCCCUAUCUAACCAACCGGUAUCCGUGCUGGCCAUUUUAUUUGUUUUAUGGAGAUCGUCGAUACGUGUGAAAUAGGUUCUCCAUAAAGACAUAAGUACAGACUACUGAGCACACGUCGACUCUUGGCCGAUCGACGCAUUAACGAUUCUAUAGUUUCGCAUCGUCCUCGCGAUAUCCCUACAGGAAUCAGUUUCUGACACACGAACAGAGAAGCGCAGUCAUAGCUAAAACUUCAAAGACAUAUUACUAUAUUUUGUUGUGUUCCGGUUGAAGAACUGCUGCACCAAUGAGGAUUCGUAGAUUCAUUGAAGCGGAACUCGAAGACGAGGGGAAAAUAGGAAAUAUAGCAAUUGUCAUUAAUUUAGCAAAUAUUACGAGCACAAUGUACAUAGCAUGUGAUCAGAUGAUGAUUACCUGUUACGCCGAACUAACUAUAUGGUACAUAAUCUAAGUAAAAGAGAAUAUAUAUGAAAAUGGCAAGAAAUUUAAAGGAUGCAUUGUGGAUGGUGGAAGAACUUUGUUUAGCAAUAUGUCUAAACAGUAAACAUGUAUACCUAUAUAUAUAUAUAUUGAAGAUUUUAAGUGGGAAUAUGAAGAAUAAAUCAGCAUAAAUAACAUUUUUGAGUUAUGAAUCAGCAGUACCCGAGGAGACCAAAAAAAAUAUUUAUCUAUGAAACAUGGUAGUUAAAACCAGAAAACAACAUUUUUAUUCUCUUAGAUUUUCUUAGGUAGCACGUAUUGUACAAAAAUAUUGAAAACAAAGUUUAUUAAAAUUAUUAAUUUUUGUUUUGGUAAAUUACGUAAAAAAUAUAAUUCAUAUUAAAUUAACAGUCAAUUGUAAUUUGCACAUUGUCAUUAUAUAUAAUUGUUCAAUUAUAUAUAUUUAAUACCAUAA